rnacentral:misc_RNA from 1 species
GAUGAAGAACGUAGUGAAAUGCGAUACGUAGUGUGAAUUGCAGAAUUCAGUGAAUCAUCGAAUCUUUGAACGCACAUUGCACCUCUCGGUAUUCCGGGAGGUAUGCCUGUUCGAGCGUCAUUUGUACCCUCAAGCUCUGCUUGGUGUUGGGUGUUUGUUCCGCCUCUGUGUGUGAACUCGCCUCAAAACAAUUGGCAGCCGGCGUACUUGUUUCGGAGCGCAGCGCAUUUUGCGAUCCAGAUCAACGUACAGCGGCAUCCAAGAAGCCUUAUUUAACGCUCUUGACCUCGGAUCAGGUAGGGAUACCCGCUGAACUUAAGCAUAUCAAUAAGCGGAGGA